rnacentral:rRNA from 1 species
AGCGAACGCUGGCGGCAGGCUUAACACAUGCAAGUCGAACGCCCCGCAAGGGGAGUGGCAGACGGGUGAGUAACGCGUGGGAACAUACCCUUUCCUGCGGAAUAGCUCCGGGAAACUGGAAUUAAUACCGCAUACGCCCUACGGGGGAAAGAUUUAUCGGGGAAGGAUUGGCCCGCGUUGGAUUAGCUAGUUGGUGGGGUAAAGGCCUACCAAGGCGACGAUCCAUAGCUGGUCUGAGGGGAUGAUCAGCCACAUUGGGACUGAGACACGGCCCAAACUCCUACGGGAGGCAGCAGUGGGGAAUAUUGGACAAUGGGCGCAAGCCUGAUCCAGCCAUGCCGCGUGAGUGAUGAAGGCCUUAGGGUUGUAAAGCUCUUUCACUGGAGAAGAUAAUGACGGUAUCCGGAGAAGAAGUCCCGGCUAACUUCGUGCCAGCCGCCGCGGUAA